UCUCCUGGAUAAUAUCCUAAAGAGUGUUUUUGAUACAUACUUUUAAAUAACCAGAUCUCGUGAGAAAUCACUCACUAUUGGGAGGACAGUGCCAAGCCAUUCAUGAGGGAUCCACGCCCAUGAUCCAAACACCUCCCACCAUGCUUUACCUUCAACACUGGGGAUUAUAGUUGACCAUGAUAUAUGGAGGGGACAAACAUACAAACUAUAUCAAAGGCAUAGCAUGGGUUCUGUGAAAGGAGGGUGAAAACACAAAGAUGACAUCGCCACUGACCUCAGGGAGUGCUCAGUAGACUGAGGGAGACAAGUACAUAUUUUCCUGAAGGAGGGCACUGGAGUGAUGGCGUGUUUAGAAUGUGAAAGUAGAGCAGUCACAGAGAGGCAGCCCAGCAGAGUGCUUGCUCAGGGACUUGGGCCAGCAACUCCCCACUGCAUGUGAUGUAUCUGAGGAAAGUCAUUAAAAUAGGCAAUGGUCACUUUCCAUCAAGUCCCUGGUGUGGUCCAUGGAGGCAGGAUUGUCAAUCUGAUUUCGGCAUUUCAGAGGCCUCUUAGGGUUUGGAUACAGAAGAAGACAACCAGCAAUGAUUAUGUAUUUCAGAGAUGUGCGUGAGCCCCAAUUUCUUGCCAGUUGGGAGGUCAGUGUUGAGGGCCUUACUAUCUUAAGGAAAUCCUUGACACAUAGGAUGCCAAUUUCUUUCUGGACAGAGAGUAUUUGGUUGGUUAAAGUUAAAAUCUGAAUUUUGUUUUGGGAUAUAUUCCAAAAAUAUUAGCUUUAUUCAAAUUUACUUUCACUUUAUCUUUCUGAAUUUUCAAGGUCCAAAAGCAUUGCUUAGUAAUUCUGUUUCUAAACUCACAUUGCAGCACUGGGCAUGAUCUGUCCAAGGCAGAGACCAUAAGAUAGUCUUGUCUGGAAAACAUACAAGUAGGUAUCUCAACAAAUGAUACUCAUAUAUUCUUGUUCUUAGGAGUAAAUCAUUGGCAGUGAGUAUGAUUUUUUUUUUUUAUGAAAGGAUAAAUACACACCCUCUAUUGAGGUCAGGUUUUGUGCCUGUACUUCUUCCGCCUACUGUAUCAUAGGAGAUUAGAAACCCAGCUGCUGGCUCGGGCUGCAGUUCUCUGAUGGCUCGCACACGGUGGACCAGCCCUGUUCUCCUAUGUGUUUCUCUGCUGCUGACCUGUGGAUUUGCUGAGGCAGGGAAGCUGCUGGUAGUGCCCAUGGAUGGGAGCCACUGGUUCACCAUGCAGUCGGUGGUGGAGAAGCUUAUCCUCAGGGGGCAUGAGGUGGUGGUAGUCAUGCCAGAGGUGAGUUGGCAACUGGGAAGAUCACUGAAUUGCACAGUGAAGACUUAUUCUACCUCAUACACUCUGGAGGAUCUGGACCGGGAAUUCAUGACUUUCGCCCAUGCUCAAUGGAAAGCACAAUUACGAAGUUUCUUUUCUCUAUUUCUGAGUUCAUCCAAUGGUUUUUUUGAUUUAUUUUUUUCGCAUUGCAGGAGUUUGUUUAAUGACCAAAAAUUGGUAGAAUACUUAAAGGAGAGUUCUUUUGAUGCGGUGUUUCUGGAUCCUUUUGAUGGCUGUGGCUUAAUUCUUGCCAAAUAUUUCUCCCUCCCCUCUGUGGUCUUUGCCAGGGGAAUAUUUUGCCACUAUCUUGAAGAAGGUGCACAGUGCCCUGCUCCUCUUUCCUACAUCCCCAGAAUUCUCUUAGGGUUCUCAGAUGCCAUGACUUUCAAGGAGAGAGUAUGGAACCAUGUCAUGCACUUGGAGGAACAUUUAUUUUGCAAGUAUUUUUUCAAAAGUGCCCUAGAAAUCGCCUCUGAAAUUCUCCAAACACCUGUCACGGCAUAUGAUCUCUACAGCCACACAUCAAUUUGGUUGUUGCGAACGGACUUUGUUUUGGACUAUCCCAAACCCGUGAUGCCCAACAUGGUCUUCAUUGGUGGUAUCAACUGCCAUCAGGGAAAGCCAGUGCCUAUGGUAAGUCAUCUCUCCUUUAGCACAUUAAGAAUAAUCUGGCUUUGUAAAUUAAAAAAAGAUUCCUUACUGAACUGUGAUUUGACAUUUUGGUUUGUUGCAUUUCAAAUUUCUUUCCAGUUUAACAAAUUAUUUUGUGCCAAUUCAUGUACUUGUCAGUUACCAAAUUUUAUAAAACUGCCCUUCUUGAAAGUGUGUAUAUAUAAUUUAAAAAUUAUACAUCAUAUUCAGCCUACAUUUUUGAGUACUAUGUUUAGAAAAGUACCAACAACCGCAGUAAGAAAUGGAACUUCUCUUUUUUGCAAAUUCUAUGUGACCCCUGAGAGCAAAUGCUCUUAGCAGUUUUGCAUACAUUCUUUUCAUUAAAAAAGUGUUUCAGUUGUGUAUAUAUAAUUUAAAAAUUAUAGGUCCUAUUCAGCCUACGUUUUUGAGUACUGUGUUUAGAAAAGCACCAAAAACCACAGUAAGAAAUGAAACUUCCCUUUAUUGCUAAUUUUUGUGACCCCUAGAGGAAAUGCUCUUAGCAGUUUUGUGUACAUUCUUUUCAUUUAAAAAAAAAAAGCAUUUUAGUUAUACGCAAUAUCUAAUGUAAA